rnacentral:rRNA from 1 species
GACGAACGCUGGCGGCGUGCCUAAUACAUGCAAGUAGGACGCAGUUGCGAACGGGUGAGUAAAGCGUAGGUAACUACCUAUUAGAGGGGGAUAACUAUUGGAAACGAUAGCUAAUUACGCAUACUAGUAGAUGGAACUGCGUUGUAUUAGCUAGUAGGUAGGGAAGUGGCCUACAGAGGCAACGAUACAUAGCCGACCUGAGAGAGUUAGCGGCCACACUGAGACUGAGACAAGGCCCAGACUCCUACGGGAGGCAGCAGUAGGUAAUCUUCGGCAAUGGGGGUAACCCUGACCGAGCAACGCCGCGUGAGUGAAGAUGGUUUUCGGAUCGUAAAGCUCUGUUGUUAAGGAAGCGGUACUUAACCAGAAAGGGACGGCUAACUACGUGCCAGCCGCCGCGGUAAUUC